AGUACGUUUUCUCACCUUAGAUGAGACAGGAAGGGUAGAGGGGACUGGAGUUGGCUAAGUUCUCUUUCUCCAAGUCAGAGUAAACAUAUUACUGUCAGGAAGGGAAAAAUGUUUUAAGAAAGAAAAUCUUGACUAUGUAUCUGGGGAGGAGCCAAGAUGGCCGAAUAGGAACAGCUCCGGUCUACAGCUCCCAGCGUGAGCGACGCAGAAGA
rnacentral:lncRNA from 1 species